GCAGGAUACUCCUUUGGAGUCCUGCUGUUACCAAAGUCCUCACUUACUACUUUGCUCUGGAGAAUUACUACCCUUCAAACACUGUCUUUAUGUCUUGAAGAGUUUCAGCCUGGCAAUCAACCUCACACCAUGGUGACAGGUCCAAAGCACCAGUCUCCACUCUCGUUGCAAAUGAAAUGUGGAAGACAUCAAGCUGAUGAGAGCUGGAAGGGCUAUGAGAAAUAAAAACAUGACAUUGUCCUGACAGAACUUCCUGAAGCCCACUAGUACAUGCAGUCAUCCUUGUGCCUGAGUACCUGAACAUUUGCAGGAAGUGUUGAUUGGUUUGAGGUAGUGACAGGAAUUUAAUUGAAAUUUUACUUCAGAGGCUUCUAGAGCCAGGAUCUACUGAAAUGGAAGGUAGCUGACAAAGCUUUCAUGGUUUGAUGAGAUUGCUUUACCACAUUCCAGAAAUAUUCAUGCAUCCAACCAUAAUUCAAAGUGUUUCUGUUUGAGAGCUGGGAAUAUCGUGACACAGCUUUGUCACAACAUAGAUCAUUGACACAGCACAUUUCUAUUCGGUAGAAAAUGGCUUUCACAAAAUAUAUCACAUUAUUCUUGCACUUCUUUCCACCCGUCAGCAUUAUCCUGGAGGAAUAAAUAAGUGGUGUGAUUUACAUUUUUCAUAUACUGGGUUUGGAGAUAUCUUGUAUCAUUCGCUUCAGCUAGAGGCAUUGUACUCUAAGGCAUGUUUCAGCCCUGAUGAAUCACUUCAAAAUGUUGCGAUCUGUUUAUCUGUGUUCUGGAAGAGAAGUCACUCUGCUCUGAUCUUCUCAGGUUAUGUUCUGAACGAUGAAGUCAUUCAUGUUUAUGAAAUUGUUUGCAAAUGGUUAGCAUAGAACUUCAACUUAAUCUCCACAUUUGUAUAGUUUUUAGAAAACCUAUUUUCAGACACAGGGAUAUUUUAUUUUAUUAAAUUUACUCAUCUUGAUUUCUCCUGUGACCAAAAAAUUCUUCCCCCAGCUGCUUUGUUUUUAAUUUUAAGUGAACAAUUACUUCAUGACAUGUUACUUUUUUAGUAUAAGCUAUUCCCAGAACAGGAGAAGCAGACAGGGUGUGCCCAGGAUGUCUCCGAACUCUACUCUCAUUGCUUUUUCUGUUUUUCAUGCUGCAGUUUCUUUUACAGUAUUAGUCUUAGCAGGGUGGUUGCAAUGUGAUUUUCACAAAUGAUAUUUUCCUCUCCCAGUUAUGUUGUACUCUAUUUAUGGUUGUUCCACUAAAAUUUAACUUCUAAUGUUGUUUUUGUAGGCUUGACAAUUCCCUUGUCUUUCUGUUUCUCAUGAAAAAUGCAGAAAUUCAGCUGCAGCUCUUUAUAGUGUCCAUUAAAUUCUUUAAGAGAUUCUUGUGAAGUCUUAGAAAGAUAGUCACUAAUGAGGUAUGAUUGCCAUAACUUUGCUGAGAACUUAAAAAAACACUGACCUGUUCAUUAUAAAACCUAAUUUGAAAAGAUGUGGCAUUUAUAUCUUAUUUAGAAAACUCAUACUUCAACUGAAAAAAAAUAUAUAUAUAUAUCUUACAUAAACCUAGUAUUGCACUUGUGAAUAGUUUAUGAAUGAGAGAAUUCCAUGGAAGGAAGAAGUUGUUUAUAAAAACUACAAAAUUCACUAUGCUUUCUCAGAUAUUUCUGGUAUCACAAAAAUGUGCAAAGUCAUGCCAUUCAGGAAGCUUCAAUUAAGUAAUUUAUUUAUGCAAAUGUUGAAUGUAGUAAGUUAAUUAGAACAGCAAUGGGUGUUUGCUAGAGAUUCCAAGUUUGGCAGGCUAAUCACUCUACUCUGGCAUGCUGCAUGUCAUUUGUCCCUUAGGCUUCCCAUAAAAAUGAGUCAAAACUCCUCAUAAAAAUGACAGAUUGCUUCAA